UGAGAAAGGCCCGAUUAUUACGAUCCCCUUGAGAGUUCCCCUUCCUUGAAUGGCCAUGGGGCCCUCCAAGAAAACAGAUGUGAAGGCCCUUCGUAAAUAGCAAAGCCAUAUAUAAGCAUCCGGUGUAACUAACACAGAUGGCUUCAUGCUUAUGGAGGGCUUGUCUCAAAAGUUUUGCAAGCCUACGUUCCCAGAAUCUCCCAAGUUUCAUCUGGGUAUAUGACCACCCAAAAGAGGACAACAUUGCCCACCUAUGUUGCAGCUCAGUACAGUCAUGAGAUGAAGUUCCAGAGGUGGAAAUGAUGUGUAUAUCUCCCAUCUCCCAUUCUUUUAAAAAAGCUGUUUGUGCCUUUCACUUCCUCCUUUCCUUUUUUUUCCUGUGGGUUGGGACCUGGAUGUGGCAGUGAUGAAACAACUUUGACCAUUCAGAAGAGAAUCUUAUCCCGAGGAGUGGCUGAGCCGCAAGGCAGAAGGGAUAAUGGCCCGGGAUGACAUAGAAGAGAGAAAAAUACCUAUUUUGAAUGGCCUGUUCACUCUUGUUAAGUGCAAAAUUUGUAUCAUGCUGGAAUCAUUGUACUUUCGGCUUAGC